rnacentral:sRNA from 1 species
AUGGGAAACAGGGUGAAGCAGAGAAGCAGGACCCGGCGGUGGCAAGCACUCUUCCCUUUCCUGCUGCCUUUGUUCUGCAGGGCACCCUCGGAGCAGAUCCGCUACUCUAUUCCAGAAGAAACGGUCCAGGACUCCGUGGUGGGGAACCUUGCGGAGGACAUGCGGCUGCAUGUUCAGGAUUUAUUGACCUGAAACCUUAGAGUUAGUGCAGAGAAACAAUACUUUACCGUGAACACGGAGAAUGGGAACAUACUUGUGAGUGACAGAAUAGAUCGAGAGUCACUGUCUUCAAAAUCCUCUGUGUCAUACCCUUAGAGAUUGUAGCAGAGAAUCCUCUAAAUGUUUUUCACAUAAAUGUGAUGAUAGAAGAUAUAAAUGAUAAUCCACCUCAUUUUCCCCCAAAAUAGCAUUGUUUUACAAAUCAAUGAACUAGCAAUUCCAGGCAUUCGGUUUGGCCUGGAAUCUGCUAUAGAUGCAGAUGUAGGGCCUCACUCUCUCCAGAGUUACCAGCUCAGUUCUAAUGAACAUUUCUCUCUGAUGAUGGACAAGACUAAAGGCAAGAACGCUCCAGAAUUAGUGCUGGAGAAGCCCCUGGGCCAGGAGCAACAGAGCUCUCAUCUCCUGGUCCUGAAAGCAAUGGACAUGGGUGACCCAGUCCUAACUGGCACUGCUGCAAUUCAAAUUGAGGUCACUGAUGCCAACGAUAAUGCCCCAGUUUUUAGCCAGGAUGUAUACAAAGUCAGCCUUAGAGAGAAUGUGCCCCCAGGCACCUCUGUACUAAAGGUGACAGCCACUGACCAGGAUGAGGGUGUCAAUGCGGAGAUCACCUACUCUUUCAAAUCCCUACGAGAUGAUAUUGGAAAUAUGUUUGUGCUAGACCAUCAAAAUGGGGAAAUUAAAUCCAAAGACUUAAUAGACUUCGAAUUUCGUAGCAGUUAUACCAUGAGAGUAGAAGCUAAGGAUGGUGGAGGCAUGACCAGCGAAUGUAAAAUUAUACUAGAAAUCCUAGAUGAGAACGACAAUGCCCCAGACGUGGUUUUUACUUCGGUGUCCAGUUCUGUAACUGAGACGCAGAACCCUGGACGGUGAUCACUCUGUUCAAAACACAUGAUAAAGAUUCGAGAGAAAAUGGGGACGUUACAUGCCUCAUAAACGAAAGAGUUCCUUUUAGAAUCGAAUCUUCCGCCAGUAAUGACUAUAAGCUUGUAACAGAUGGGACCCUGGAUUGGGAGCGGAUCCCGGAGUACAACGUCACCAUCACUGCCACUGACAAGGGCAAGCCUCCACUUUCAUCCAGCACAAGCCUCACCCUACGCAUUGGUGAAGUCAACGACAAUGCUCCGGUUUUCCACCAGGUCUCCUACGUGGUCCACGUGGCCGAAAACAACCUUCCCGGAGCCUCCAUCCCACAAGUCAGCGCCUCUGACCUGGACCUAGGGCUGAAUGGCCAAGUCUCCUACUCCAUCGUUACCACUGACUUGGAGCUGCGGGCACUGUCGUCCUACGUGUCCGUGAGCGCACAGAGUGGGGUGGUGGUCGCGCAGCGCGCCUUCGACCACGAGCAGCUGUGCGCCUUCGAGCUCACGAUGCAGGCCCACGACCAGGGAUCGCCCGCGCUCAGCGCCAACAUGAGCCGGCGCAUGUUGGUGGGCGACCUCAAUGACAAUGUGCCGCGGGUGCUGUACCCCGCGCUGGGGCCCGAUGGCUCUGCACUCUUCGAUAUAGUGCCACGCGCCGCAGAGUCCGGCUACCUGGUGACCAAGGUGGUGGCGGUGGACGCAGAAUCGGGACACAACGCUUGGCUGUCCUACCAGGUGCUGCAGGCCAUCGAGCCCGGGCUUUUCAGCCUGGGGCUGCACACGGGCAACCUGCUGGUUGCUGUGCGUGACGGAGGACAGCCGCCGCUCUCUGCGCCGCUACGCUUCACCUAGUCUUCGCAGACAGCCUGCAGGAGGCACUGCCAGACUUCAAUGA